GGACUACAGGGGUAUCUAAUCCUAUUCAUUACUCUAGCCUUCGUACCUCAACGUCAGUUGUUUUAGAGUAUUGUCUUCACUUUAAUCAGUCCCAUAAGUAUCACAGAAUUUUAUCUCUCUUCCUAUGGUUCUAUAAGACUCCCUUUAUAACUCUAGAUCAUAUAUAAAUACAAUCCGUCUAGGUACCCUUAAAACCUAAUAAAGAUGACAAACACCAGUCUUCCUUGUAUUACCGCGGCUGCUGGCAC
rnacentral:rRNA from 1 species